rnacentral:rRNA from 1 species
CAAUAGCGUAUAUUAAAGUUGUUGCGGUUAAAAAGCUCGUAGUUGGAGUUCUGCCAGGUGCCGCCUGUCCGCCCCAGUGGUGAGUACGUGGCGCGCAUUUGGCCCUUUCAAGGGGAGCGUAUCUGCACUUUAUUGUGUGGUGCGGGAUCCUUGACUUUUACUUUGAGGAAAUAGGAGUGUUCCAAGCAGGCUCUCGUCGUGCACAGCUCAGCAUGGAAUAAUAGCAUUGGACCUCGAUUCUAAGCUGUUGGUUGCCAGAAGCGAGGUAAUGAUGAAGAGGGAUAGUUGGGGGCAUUCGUAUUUAACUGUCAGAGGUGAAAUUCUUGGAUUUGUUAAAGACUAACCUAUGCGAAAGCAUUUGCCAAGGAUGUUUUCAUUAA